AUUGGGCAUAGCACUGUAUGUAUACACAAACUUGCCAUCUUGCAGUACUUCCUCUGCAUUGGAAGCACCACAAAUGACAGCAAUAAGCCGCUAGAUGUGGGGUGUCACAGGGAGCUCAGUAAGGUGCUUGGAGUGUGAUCAGCACAGAUUUGUUCUGGAGGGGACGCAGCUUCCAGAGGUCCUAAUUACAUGUGCAGGAAACCCAUGGGGUUUUAAGAUGAAGGACAAAAUCCAACUACUUAAGGUAGGGCUGUGCUUGACUAAUCCUCAGGACUUUCCCUGGAGGAUUUGCAUAGAGCUUUCAUACUAAUAAGACUCCUCUACAUGCACAGGAAUGCAUUACAGACAGCAAAUGCUGUGCUCAUCCUAUUUGAGGUGACUGGUGGGGGCACUAGGGUAUAAUGUGCUUUUUCACUCUUGGAGACCAAGGGCACCAUAUGCCUCUCCUGGAGCUUGUUGCGCACAGCAUAGUGAGACAAGCCUCUGCUGGUGAAAAAGAAAGGAAAACCAGACUUUACCAUACUGCCCUUGUAGUCUUACAAAAUGUUCGCACUUUUAGCUGUAUAGCAGCAAGGGAAAACAUUGCUUUGGUUACUAAACUUACAAUUGAAGUAGCAGAAAGGGUCUGUUUCCUGCUGCUCUUUCAAAGGUCCUAUUCUGUCUUUUUCCCUUCUGAUAUUAGAGGAAGGGUAACCUGGAAAUCACAACAAACCAGAUGUUAAACUGGUAAAAUCACAGUUGUUGCUGCCUCUUGGUGUUUGUGCUUCUGGUAAAGAGACUUUCAACAACUGCUUGCUCCUAUGGGUGCUGUGCCCCUUAGGAUGAUACAAAAUGCAUGGAGAAAAAACUCACUGAUGUAUAUUUAAGAUGUGUUAUGUGCAGAUAAUGUGCUGGAAGUGCUAAAGGGAUCAAAGGGGAAGCUUCAACAGAGAGGGUUGGAUUUUUUUUUUUUUGUGUUAAAUGAGAAGAAUGGAAACCACGAUGAUGAUUUCCUCAACUGAUUAAUAAUUCCCUCCCACACUUCAACAAAACUGUACAAAAUGCUACUUUACUAAGAUCUGUCUAUUAAUUUUCAAUCCUGCUAGAGCUUCCAUUAGAGGAAGCAAAGCCUCUCUGUUCACAAGAUGUGGCUUUUUGGAAGGGAGGAAGUUUGUACUUUGGAUAGUGGAGGAGGGUUGGAUUCUACUAUUCUUUCCUUUCUUUAAAUCUUUUUUGCUUGAACUGACAGCAAGAUUCUGUCCUUGUCCUUCAUGUUCGUGAGUCUCAGGAGAACAGCGCAUACCAUUUCUGUGCUAUUUUUAUUCCUUCCUCCUGGUAAUCUGUUGGUACGUUCAGCCCAAAUCAGGUCACCUUGAGGACUAAAUAAUGGUGGUAUGGGGAGCCAUUUCUGGAAGAAAUUCACUUGUUUUAUUUAUUUAUUUUUUGUUUUGUUUUGCUUUGUUGUAUGAGGAAAAGGGAUUUUUUUCCCCCCUCUGGAGAAGAUUCUUGAGUAGCUUUUUAUUUUUGGUAAAUUUAAGCUAUAAUAUAAAGGUCUGGGACACUUGAUAUGUUUUUCAUGCUAACAGAAUAAUUAAUCUUAAUUACGCUGUUUAUUUUACCAUACUUUAGAGGGUAAGUGAUUAGAAAUAGCUUUAUAUCAUGCGACAGAAUAAGGUGUCUUAUCCAAAUGUCUCUGAGUUGGCAAAAAAAAUAGCUACCAUUUGGUGCGUGGAAAAUGGAAUUGCCUUGGCUAUGCUGCUGUAGCGAUACAGCCUUCUACAUCCUUCUCUUUAGCCUGUUUGCGUGUGGAGCUACCCCCAUGAAAGCAGGAGAUGAGUUAGAGCAUGUUUGCAGCUCUGCUUUCCCUGGGUUAGAGGUAACCAAAGCAUGGGUUCAAGCAUGGGUUCAAGCUCUGGUUGAAAUAAAAUAGCAGCAGAAUUCAUCUGAUGGGCAGAGGGUACUAGUUUUGUGUGUAUAAUAUGUAUGUUUUAUAGAUAUCGUGCUUGCAUUCUGUAUAUAUAAAUUAUACAUACAUACAUAUAUAUGUAUAUACAUAUUCAAGUCCUAUAGAGAAUUACAGCUGAAUGCAGCCCUUCAUCUUUGAUCCUCAAAUACCAGAGGUCUCCCCAGGAUGUAAUGGGACCUCUGGAAGCUGGCUCCCCCACAAGUCUGUGCUGAUCACACUCCGAAUACCUUACUGAACGCGCUGAGAUGAGGUACAUAUAAAAACAUCAGAAGAACAGAAAGUCUGGAAAUCCAUGUGGAAAUUGCAUGCAGGCUCUUGGCAAGCAGCCAGAGCAAAUGUGAGAGGAAAUAUUCAUAUCUUUUUUUUUUUCCAGGUAGCUGGGCAGUGAUGCUCAUCUAUCCCAGACAGUUUAGGGAUGCACUUAUGUGCAGUAGAGCUUUAAUGAUGCAUAUUUCCCCAUUAUCUUUAUCUCUAAACUUGUCUUCCAGCAACAGUGCUGCAUGCUGAGAGUCAAGUGGGGCUUUUGACACCCGUAUUCACGAUGAUGUCUAUUCUAAUGAAUUACAUUGUGUACUUAAUACUUUUGUUUUAGGGCAUGAAGUCAUUAGUAGGAAUGGAGCCCAGUUCUCCAGCCUCCCAGCGGUGUAUGUACUUAAUAAGCCCAAACCAAUGCUUUGUCAGCUCAGAUCAGCCAAAACUACUUUGUAUUUUAUUCUAUCUGGCUGUAAUUUCUACCUGGAUCAUAUUACUUAGUGUCUAAGCUGUAUCCAUGCAUUCUGGUAUGCACAUAAGGGAUGUCGGGAUAAAAGAUGCCUGAAAUGAUAACCACUCAUUUUUCCUUUCUGUCCAGUUUAUUUCCUAGGGGUUCUGUACUUACUGACUGCUGAUGCAUUGCUCUACAAUUCUAGCUGGAUCCUAGGUAUUUUGAGUACUCUCAGUCUUGUAAACCUUGGCAGCUGGUUUGUGCUUGCAACAGCAAUACUCUUUCAGCCUCUGGAGACCUCUCCAUGUAUGCUUCCAUGUCAGGGCUAAAUUAUGGAGAAGCCAAUUAGGACCCACACCCAACAAAUUCUCUGCUGAGAUAAAGCAGUCUUCAGAGAGGCUGUCUUAUUUCUGCUUAUGGAGGGGUUUCUUAAUAGGAUGCAGCAGAUCCAGGAGCUAUGUGAUUACUGGGGAGUUUUUUUGAGGGGGCCCUUGAAAACUUACAGAAACCUGACUUUUCUGGAUGAUUUUCAUGUUGCCUUGUUUGUGUGAGGCACAGUCGGAGCUGGGAUUUCAUUUUUUAUUUUUUUUUUCCUGGAUAUUUCUUGCUUUAACUCCUCUUUCUCUGCCCUGAACUUGGUGUAACUGAAAGGAGGAGAGGGCAAAGAUUUCAGCAACUCAAAUGGCAGCAGAACUCGGUCAACUACAUUAAAAACAAAUGUUAGAGCUAGUUUUACUGCUGAGACGGGAGGGAAGAAAGGAUUGUGUGAAGUGUCAGUAGGGCAUGAGAGCUAUUGCGGAGUCCAGUUGCCCCUGAGCUUUGAAUUUCCUCAAAGUUUUUUGAAAUUGUGUGGUGUUUCAUGUUUGCUUUCAGCCACUUUAGCUUUUAACAAGGAGGAGGAAUCAGGGCAAUGGUGUCAGCAGAACUGCAGGUGAAUAAAAUUACAGGGCUGGAGCUGGAAGAGGGAUGGUUUUUGGUGAUAUCUCCUAGAAUAGCCUCGGAUUGCUGGGCAGGACGCUGCACUCCCCAUUCAGAGCCCCUCAGAGUGAGGACAAUGGGGGGCUCUCCCUGAAAGCCAAGGAAAAGAAUAGCUUUCAGGUACUUCUGUCACCAAUAACCAAUGAGGGGGUAACUGCUCUGUUCACUUAGGUUUUUUUGUAAGUAGUAUACAGAGCUGCUGAGUUCUGUACUGUGGUUUGGAUGAAAAUGUGCUUUCUCCAUAGAAAGAUUCUAGGAGAAUCAUGGGGUGCUUGAACAUAGGCUGACUUUUUGAGUCCGUGACCACCUGGUUAGGAGCAAGGAAGAAAUUUUGCGUGGGAUUCCAAACAUGUCCACUGUCACUGCUUUAUCUGUAGCAUCAAGUGCUGUGAUGCACAGACAAUUUUACGUGGAAAUUCAGGCUCAGUGAUGUGGUCUUUGGGGGUCCUUAAGUGUGUUUUGUGUUCAUCUUCCUUGUUAGUUUUCAGCUUUUGCUAUCUGCUGCUCAGAAGUCUGAAUUUAAAUGUAAACCUUGUGAAUAUAGCAAUUACAUUUCCUUCAUUUUGUUUUCAGACUUUCUGAGGAAGCAUCUGGGGACAGAAAAGGCAUCAAAAGAACAAGCUGAUGAUAAGCAUAUUUUUAGGAAUUUCUAAGUGCUAUCGUUUCUGUCACCUGAAAAAGUCUGAACUGAACUGCUAACCAAAACAGCUGGACAAAUUUAAAUGUAAAAGUAUAAUACACCUCAUUCCCUACUGUCUUUUUAAAACAAGAUGUUAAUGUGGUCACUUGAGGUGGAUGGAUUUGUUUUAUAUCUGUCUAUUGGAACUGGGAGUUGGAGCCAUGUAAGGUUUCUCUGAUAAAGUCAACACCAAAAUAUGAACUAGAAAUCAGCUGAAUUUUUAUCUGGAUAAAUCAGAAUCAUCUCUGUGUCAGUGGUGGGUUUACUCCUGAAGUCAGGCUGCAUAGCCAUAUAGCCCGUGUAGGAUUCAUACUUGGGGUUGGAGGGCUUGCUCAUGCUUUUUUAUGAGGCUGGCAUAUCAAAAAGGAAAGUGCUCAGAAGAGCUGCCUAUGGUGUUGGUAAACUCCGUUUUUUAUAACUUUUAGCAGAAAACCUUAAGCUCAGAAGGAUUUUAGAGGUUUGCAGUUACUGCCUUUUGACACAGAGCUUGUGCCUGAGCUGAGAGUCUGAAAUAAGCAACGCCUCGUACCUGUGGCCAGCAUCCUUUUCAGAACUUGGCACAAAAGUGUCCAGCAGAUGGCGCGAUGUGCUUUAUUUAGGGCAGAAACGCUGAGAUCGUGAAGUUUCCUUUUGUUUGAAAUUAAAUUAAGUUUUAUAUGCUCUGAUCAGAAGCUGCCGUUUGAAAGAACUGAAUUUUAGAUCUAAAUACACAGGUUCUGUACUGGAACGUAGCAUCUCUGUAACCUGCAAGAAAUAACAGGCACUUAAUGCUGUGUUGGUAGGAAAGUCUGUUCCUCAUAUAGAAUGUUUGUAGUUUAAAACCAGUUGGCAGUUAAAAAAAAGUUACUUUUUACCCCCAAAAAGUAAUUUCCUGAUGUGAAGUAGUGCCAGACAAGACCUUUCCAAAUUUCUAGUUGAUAAGCGUUAGGCAACUUUUUUUCUUUUUCUUUUUCCACAGAUAAAUACAUGGCUUGCUCUUCUACAAAAUCAAAGGGUUAGUUUGCUACUGGGAACUGCAAGCUGGAAUGCUGUCGACUAACCAAAUAGCCUAAGAUGCCACUGCUUUUUAUGAGUUGUCUGCAUCCUGGACCCCUUUACAACUCAAGAAAAACAAAACAAACAAAACCUUGGCCACUCCCACCCUGGCAAGUGCAUGCUGGAAGCAACAUGAGAUUUAUGUCAGCGGGAACAACAUGUGGCUGAUCUGCAUGGUAUUCACAAAUAGGCAGGAGCACUCUCUUCCCCCAAGCGUCUCAUUUCUCAUUCCUUGGAUGAUCCUUCAAAUAGAUAUGCAGCAUAGCUGGGGACUUCAGAAGUGUUUAAACAGUAAAUGCUGACUCACCAAGGCAGAAGAACUGGAAGGAACAGUUGAAAGCUGUGCAGACUACCAGCUGGUUACUUGAAAACAAAUAUUUGGAGGCUACCACAUAUUCUUGAUUAUUGAGAGCCAGUGAAGAAAGAAAACAAAUAUCUGCAGUAAGAGAAAAACAUUGGUAAAGAAGUGAAGGGAUGUGCAGCCGGUUCUGUGGACUUCAGGAAUUUUGCAAUCAACUCUAAUGAGAUCUGGAUGCAGAGCUAUUCCGAGUUUCCUAUGGAAAUUUUACUGAAUUGCAUUUCAUGAGAUUCUGCUGUCUCCUGAUGGUAUUUGGCAUGGGCCUGCCUGCUUCCCUACAGGACUCAGAGCAACACAACUGUCCUGAGGUGGUCAUUUGCCCUCUUGCUCGGAAAGAAACAGAAUCACAGAUCGGUUGAAGUCGGAAGGGACUUCUGGAGGUUAUCUUCUCCAGUCCUCUGCUCAAAUGGCCACUCCAGAUGGCUUUGGAGUAUCUUCAAGGAUGGAGACUCCACGAUGGUUACACUGCGGUGAAACUUUACGAACCAGUGAGACUGCCCUCAAGGCAAUUUACAACACUGCUGUGAACAUAUGAAAUCCUUCUUCCACUGAGAAGUCAGCUUGCCACUGGACUUAACGGAGCCAAGACAUCAUUUUCAUUCACUGGAGUGAGGCACGGCUUGGACAAAACAACGGUGUGAAAAUGAGCGAGUCAGCAAGCUUUUGGUAUGUUUGCAAAUGAGAAUCAGACACAGAAAUUCAUGCCCCAAUUUUAAAAAGCACAUAAGGAAAAGAUUGGCCCUCACAGUUGUAGCAGCAACACAACACGUAUAACCAAGUCCUGAAAUCCAAAGCAACAUUUAUCAGCCCGUCAGCCCUUGCAACAGCAUACGUCUACUUUUAUUUCUGCACUUAAAAUUGUCCUUGCUUCUUUUUCUGAAGGCCCCCAAGAUCCUGAUUAUGCCUGUCAGUGAAUGUCUAUAUAAAAUAAACAACACUUGUAGACAAAGACAGGCAACAGCAUUGAGCAACCUUUUUUUUUUUUUUUUUUUUUUCAGUUUCUUGUACAAUAACAAUUAAUCUUUAGGUAAGAAUUUGCGUAUAAAUUAAAUUCACUUCUUUUUUACUUUCCUUAAACAAUUUAUUCUGCUAGUGAGCUGAUAAAACUUUUGUUUGGUUCUUUCCUAUUUAAAAUUAAUAACAGUUUUAGGUUACUGAUUGUUUAGAAAUUGGCAAUGUGGAAGAAGAAUGCAAUUCCCUGUGCUUUUAUCUAUCAGUUGUGUGGUGGGUGUUUAUUUUUUUUUUUUUUUGAGUCCACAGAUCUGCCUGGAAAGUGCAGUUAAGACGAGGGAGCUUAUGUUGUACUAAUGACAAGUAAAUCCAUUUCAGGAAAGGCUUGCGAUUGAACUGCUAGGGAAAUUUGCUCCUACCACUGUUAAUAGCAAAUUACAGUCUGGAACCAGUCAAUGACCUUAACUGCAUUAGAAGCUAUUUCUCUUUUUAUGCAAAUUUGAAAGACAAAAAAACCAAGUGACUUAGGAUUCAUAACCUAAUUCUCUCUCCCCCCUCCCGAUUUCUAUUAGUUACCGUAUGAACAGGAUGGAAGGAAACUGAACUUAGGAGUUUUUAAGAGUUUCUAAAAGUGUUAAAAGUUUUUAACGAUCAGCUCCUAGCAGCUCUGUCAUGAAUGCAGAAUGCCCAUGAACUCAAGAAACAACUCCAUUUUAAUGAUGUCCAUUUUCUUACCCAAACUGAAAUAAAACAUUGCCUCCCUAUAAUGUAAUAGGUUUCUCAUUUUGAUUACUUGUUCAGAUGCCCUUGUGCUACAGCAUGAAGGCAUCUGAACAUUUACCUUUCCCUCUGCUCAUACUGGUCACCAGUAUUCUUUGCCAAAAAAGCCAGGAGAGAGAACGUCAUUAGGUACUUUAACAGGCACCAGACAUUUGCUAGCAAGGAAAUUUGAGGAGGACCAAGUAAUGUUAUCAAAGGCAGAAAAAAGAAUUUCUCUACAACAUUUUUUGUGUCUUCCCGAGCUGCUCUUCACUCUUCAGCACACCGUAAUUUUUACAUGGCUUUGUGUUUCCCACAAUUUACCAGAAUGUCGACAGAUUGAAUGGUUAUAGGUUUUCAUGGCAAGAAAGGGUAUUACAAAAGUCAUAAGCGAAAAAAGCAGCACUGGAAACCUGUUUCCUUAUGGAUGCUCCAGUCGAGCUGUUAUAAUUUCCAACACAGUCAUAAUUAUUUGAGCAGGGAAAACAUCACACACUAAAUGCGUAUAAUUAUUUGGAUAAUUUUCUACUUUGGACAGAUUGCGACAAUCUUACAUAAACACUGGCACAAAGCAUUAGGGCUGUCUGAUUUUUGACCCAGAUCUGAUUAUUUUGCAGUACACACAACCGUGCUUCCAGUGGUAGAUUCCCCCAUGUAAAGUUCCUAAAUGCAGUAAAUAAAGCCAUCUGCUGUGGAAGCCGGGUUUUUAAAUUAUAUGCCCUGUUAACCACUGGUCUGCAUAUGGAGCUAUUCAUGUCUUAAAACACAACUGUGUGCCUUUCUAAAAGGAGUUUUGUUCUCCUCAUAUUACAUAUUUCUGGGCCAGUCAUCAGAUAUCUUUAUUCUUACAUUUACUUGUGUCAGACUGACUUCAGUCUUUUCCCUUUUUAUUGAUCUUUCUUCUUCCCUUCUACUUCAUACAUUCUCUUCAUCUCUAUCAUAAAUACAAAUUCAAUAAAAAAAAAUCAAUGAAAUUGGAUAUUUAUUUAAAAAUAUAAGUGUAGCAUACAUAAAUAGCAAACAAAUAAAGUAUCUUGUAUGGAAGGGAUCUCAGCAGCCUCUAGUCCAACUUAAACAUCCUCCUCUCUGUUGAAGUGAGUGAAAAGCACUCUUAAGUAAGGGGAAUUUCUAUGGUAGUCAUGAUUUUUCCGAACCUGCCAAACAGCUGUUUAAUAAAAAUAAAAUUCUUUGUUUUCCUCUUUGAUAAUUUGUUUAGCUAAAUUGUUGUUGGGUGAGCAAGUGGUUAAAUUGCUAUUUCCAGUACUGCUCUUUUGCUCCAGUCAUUCUCUUUAGUCACUAAGAGUGCUAGUUCUGGUUAGAAGAGGGGAAUGAAUAUAAGUUCGUGCUGCAAAUUUCCAUAUGGAAGGAGCAUUGUGUGCUGUUCCAUCAACCAUUCUGUCACCUAUGCAGUCUGUAUGGGUUAUUUCAAUAGGGAUAGUUCAGUAUUUGUCCUGUUUUUUAUUCUUAUGGGAGAAGAUAUAAUACAUCAGACACUGAUCUCUCCUUAAGGAAACUGGGGCAACAUCUGGAUUGAUACCAGCUAAGAUUCUGCUCAGCUGGAUUUAUUUUUAUCUAAGUCCUAGAGACUUCUUAUUUUAUUUUAUAUUAUGUUAUGUUAUGUUGUGUUAUUUUUUUAAGAGGUACUUUUAUUUCCUACACCAGAGUCUUGCCCUGUUAGUCUAUGCCAAGGCUUCAUGGCUCUUGGUGAUUCUGGCAUUACAAAUGUUCCACCAGUCACACAAUUUGCAAAAAGGAAGUUAAAACUAUGGAACAGUACUGUGGGUAACAAUAAAAUGUAAACAUACACCCCAAUAGUAUAUGAUCUUUUGCAAAUUUUUAGAUCUCUGGUCUACCUUUCAGCAAAGCUCAUGCUUCUGUUUGCCCUAAUGCCUGUGUUUGAAGUAUUAAAUACCCUAAAUGAGGCUGGAAAGACUAAGUGACAU